AUACGGAGGAUGCAAGCGUUAUCCGGAUUUAUUGGGUUUAAAGGGUGCGUAGGCGGUUUGCUAAGCGGGAGGUGAAAUGCCGGCGCUCAACGUCGGAAGUGCCUCCCGAACUGGUGGACUUGAAUGACUCUGCCGUGGGAGGAAUGUGUAGUGUAGCGGUGAAAUGCUUAGAGAUUACACAGAACACCGAUUGCGAAGGCAUCUCACGAAGGGUUGAUUGACGCUGAGGCACGAAAGCGUGGGGAUCAAACAGGAUUAGAUACCCUGGUAGUCCGCACGGUAAACGAUGAUUACCCGCUGUCGGCGGCAGACAGUCGGCGGCCAAGCGAAAGCGAUAAGUAAUCCACCUGGGGAGUACGCCGGCAACGGUGAAACUCAAAUGAAUUGACGGGG
rnacentral:rRNA from 1 species